ACAUGUCCCUCGAGUGAGGACUGUCUACUUAGUGCUCUACAUAAAUUAUUAUAAACUUAGUUGUCCUCAAGUCAAGGAAAGUAAUUUACUGAUAUUUCCCGGCGCAGAGUACUUGAUUAUUGUGAAUUGUGCAAUAUUUGUUGUUAUUUUUGGUUGAAAUGGCGAAACCUGCUUCUACUAUUAAAGAGUUGAACGUUCGGGUUGACAUGCUGUCAGAAGAACUAAGAAAAGGUAUUGAAGAUUUCAAAAAUGAAUUUUUGAAGUCUCAGUCUUCUACCCCUGCAAUAGCUGAUAUUGGUGAAAAUCCAUUGGAUCUCCUGGAGGCAUUCGAAAAAAGGAUGAAUGACGCUAUUCAUCAUAUCAAGGUCGACAUAGAUAGUCUUAGAAAUAAUGUAAACAUGGUAAAGAAGAAAGAGCAUAAUUCGGAGAUGAAACGUAAUCUCUGUUUUCUACUUAUACAUGGGAUUCCUGAAUCUGAACGGGAUAUAUAUGAUGCUGUUAUAAAGUUGUGUAAUAAUAAGAUUGAAGUUCUUCUGAAAAAGGAGGAUUUAAAUCAAUGUUAUCGAGUAGGAAGGAAAAAAACGGAUUCUGAUAAGCCCAGACCGAUCGCAGUACAGUUUCUAAGAAGGUGGAAUCGCGAUGCUGUGUUUGUAAACAAACGUAAACUCAAAGGAACUAAUAUUCUUAUAACGGAAAUGCUAACGUUAGAAAAUUUUAUAUUAUUCAAAAAGGCAAGAAGAACAUUUGGUAAAUCUGUGUGGACCCUUAAUGGUGUAAUUUAUGUUGAUUUAAAAGGUCAGAAGAAGGUAGUAAACAAUGAAGAAGACCUGAAUGAUAUAUUGGUGGGUUGACUCUUUGUAUUCUCAUAGUUUUGUUUCAUUGGUGUUGGAAUAAUCAGGGUUACUGAAUGAGAUAUAAUUUUACUAUAUAGUUGUUAUUAAUUGAGGAUCAUGAUUGGCGAGCCAUUGAUAGUGAUUUUCUACAGAUACCAGGUUAUUCCUUUGUGAGAAAUGAUAGAGAGGGAAGGGGAGGUGGAGUUGCUGCUUACAUAAAACAAAAUUUUAAAUAUCAAAUUAUUUCAAUUGGACAGCAGGUAAGUAAUAAAACUGAGUAUUUGCUCAUAGAGUUAAUUGUUGGCCAUCGCAAGAUAAUAGUCGCCACAUUUUAUCGUCCUCCUCGUUAUAAUUUGAAUAAUUUUAUAAAUGAUGUUGACAUCGUAUUCCCUUGUAUUACCCCUACUGCGGACGAAAUUCUGUGUCUUGGUGAUAUGAAUGUUGAUUUUUUGGGACCGGAAACUCCUUUGUCGACAUGCCUAGAGUCAUAUGGCUUGAAACAAUUUUUGAAGGAACC